rnacentral:lncRNA from 1 species
ACAGGUGUGGCACCCGCCCGCCCCGCCGCACGGAGCCGCCUGCCCGCGGCCACACGCCAGGCGUCACUCGGGCUGGCGCCGGUCUACCUAGGCAGGCGUGGGACCUGUCGGGGGCUUCACGGCAGCGCGGAAGGCCAGCCUGCAGAGAGGCUGGGCCCAGCGCCCUGACUGACCCAGCCCCGCCACGUCCAAGGUUCCCGCCCUCUGGAGGAAGCCGCGCAAUCACUCCGGGGGCGGGGAGAGACAGACAACUGAGAGGAAGGAGGUACCACGGGCACUCUCUCGCGAGAGGGCCGCAGAGCCGCCUUUGACGGGGGCGUGUACCUGGAGAGCAACGGUAAGGACGGAGCCGACGGCUCCGGCGUCGGGUCGGUUCCGGCAUCGACGUAUCGUUUGGUCGCCCCAGAGAGGAGACAGGUUUCUUCAGCUUGCCGCUGAGGAUGUGGCAUCGGCUGCGCUCACCGCCGCCGCCUCUGUGAACUGCGGGAGUUGGGACAGCGGCCAGGGCUAGAUGGGUGGGACGCGAGUCCUCGCCGAAAGCUUGCCCUGUGCGGGGCGCACUUGGAGGCGAGCUCUGGGCCGUGGCGAGUUUUGCAGCCUAAGGUCUUGGCAGGCGCAUUGCUGUGGGCUGCCGGAGAGCAGGCUGGAGUUCGAGACCGCCCACCGGAGAGCAGGCGAGAGUUCGAGGCCUAGUGACAUCUGUUUGAGCAGAUGAAUAUGCCAUUGGGAAAGUCAAGGACUGUCGGAGAGGAGGACAUGGCAGACCUUAACUAAAGUGAGGGGGACAGUAGAGCACUAAAAGUUCUAGGAAAGGAGAUGAACUGCUUAUUCCAUCAGAUGAAAAUAUAGUCAGAACAGAUGAGUAGUAGAACUUAAACAUGCCCGGAGUUGCCAGGAAUUUGCAAAAGCCUUGAUAUAAUUCCUGUUGCUGUAGAAAGACUUUCUACAGUCACUAAUAUAUCAAGUUAUGUUCACUAGAAAAAAAGUUUACUUAGUUUAUAGAAAUGGGCUGAAAAAUCCUAAUUACUUAUCUGUGAGGUUAUUUUCAUGAAGGUUAAUCAUCCAGAAACUAUUAGAGAGCCUCGGAAUAUAUUUCUUCUAAUCUGCUCUACCUAUCCCAUUCAAAGGAGGGAAUCUGAAGAUUUAAGGACAAAGAGCAGUUGAAAACUCAGAGCUGUGGUUAAUGGGAGAAUUUCAAGGAUGGUGAAAAAAACUAACAUCAUUGCAUCCCUGUUUUUUGUAUUCUGGACUUUUUAGUUUAGCUCUUGGUAAACUACAUCAGAAAUUCUUUAUGCUAACUCUAACACACAUUUUGGGGUAUUGCUAAUUUAAUCUUUGAAUACUGUUUUUGCUGUUUCAUGAUUAUAUGUUAUGUCCUACCAGCUAGAUUGCCAACUCUUGACUACUGACUGGAAGUUUAUUGUUUAUUCAGCAAAUAAUGAAUUAAGUCAGUGAAGUGAGAGAUUUCGUGUGUAAGGAUUGUUAACUUGAACAUUUCACCAGUUACACACAGUUCAGCCCUACUUAAAUUUUAAAAAUCAUUGUUGGCACUUGACAUUGUUAUGAGGAGUUUUGUAUUUUCAACUUGUAUUUUGAGAGUGUCCUCAUGUGACUGAAGUAUGUGCUACUCUUCUUAAUUGAAUAACCCCAGAAUCUCCAGAAUUGAUAAUUGGAGGAAAUUCUACUGUUGGAAAGAAUGGAUGGAUUAUACAGCCCUGUUUUUUGACUGUUCAUUUUGUCCUUGGAGUCACUACCACUUGGCCUCAAAGUGUGAACAUGUAACCCUUUCCUUAAUACUUUGCUACACAGCUGAGCAGAAACUGUAAAUUUGGAUCCUUUGUCAGUACAACUUAAAAUGGAACAAUUUCAAUGGCUUAGGGUAAGAUAAGUAUGUAAAGAUACUUUUGUAAUAGAAGAAAAAACAUUGGAUAUUAAAAUCACACAGUAGUACCUGGGUGUGGUGGCUCAUGCCUAUAAUCCCAACGCUUUGGGAGGCCAAGACAGGAGCACUGCUGGAGGCCAGGAAUUUGAGACCAGCCUGGCCAACAUGGUGAAACCUCGUCUCUACCAAAAAAUACAAAAAUCAGCCAGGUGUGGUGGCACAUGCCUGUAAUCCCGGAUACUCGGGAGGCUGAGGUGGGAGAAUCGCUUGAACCAGGGAGGUGGAGGUUGCAGUGAGCUGAAAUCGCAAAACUGCACUCCAACCUGGGCAACAGAGUGAGACCUCCUGUCUCCAAAAAAAAAAAAAAAAAAAAAAAAAAGUGGGUGUGGUUGUGUACACCUCUACUUCCUGCUACUCAGGAGGCUGAGGCUGGAGGAUCUCUUGAGCCCAGGAGUUCAAGUCUGCAGUGAGCUAUAGUUGCACUGCUGCACUCCAGCCUGGGUAGCACAGCGAGACCCCCAUCUCUAAAACAUAAAAGUAAACAGGCUGGGUGCAGUGGCUUACACCUGUAAUCCCAGCACUUUGGGAGGCCGAGGAGGGUGGAUCAUGAGGUCAAGAGUUGAGACCAGCCUGGCCAACGUGGCGAAACCCCAUCUGUACUAAAAAUACAAAAAUUAGCCAGUCGUGGUGCCAGGUGCCUUUAAUCCCAGCUAUUCAGGAGGCUGAGACAGGAGAAUCGCUUGAACCUGGGAGACAGAGGUUGCAGUGAGCCAAGAUCAUGCCAUUGCACUUCAGCCUCGGGGACAAGAACAAGACUGUGUCUCAAAAAAAAAAAAAAAAGUAGAAAACAGAAUAGCAUAAGGAUAAUCUUAUAUACAAAAUAAGACUACUCAAUUUCUGAAUUUUUUUUUUAACUAGAUAUGCCACCUCCUGAUGACAGUGCCCAUUUCGUAACUUGUCUUACUCAGAAACAGCUCUUAGAUAAUUUUACUCUUUAAGUUCAGGUCUGAGCACAGAGGACAAAGAAUUCCCUUGAUUGCCUAUGAAAGAAAGGAUUCUCAACCUUGGCACUAUUGACAUUUUAAGUCAGAUAAUUCUUUGUUGUGGAAGGUUAUCCUGUGCAUUGUAGGAUGUUUAUUUUAUCAGCAUCCCUGGCUUCUACCCAGUAAAUCCCAGUAGCACCCCACCACCAACCAAAACUGUCUCAAAAUGUUGCUAGAUGCCCCUUGGGGACAAAAAUCCUCUCCCUCCCUCCUCCUUGAAUGCCACUGGCACUCCUUGAGCCUACAGAAGGGCUCUUCUCACAAGUUUGAUACCCUGUACCUCCCAGUUGAUAGUGGGAAUUACUUCUCCUUUGAAGACACAAUUCCAGUUACCCUGAGAAGUAUGGCAUUGGCCUUGCUGGCCUCCACCAAAUUACUAUAUCACUGUGUUUGGUAACCCCAGACAUCAUACUAGGGCUUUAAUUUCAGUAUAUAAAUAGUAAAUUAGUAUCCUUGUAUAGGUUAGCUUAAUGAGUUUCAGAAUUCUUCAAGUCAUAUCUUCAUAGGUAGGAUCACUGUGGAGUUAAUGGCAUUUGAACUAUGUACUCAGUACUAUGCUAGUGGUUGGUGCAAGGGGAAGAUACAAAAUAAGGUGUGAUUUUAGCCCAUGAGGAAUUUAUACUUUAUCUGCAGAAGCAAAUUAAUAUGGAACCGUUAGUGAACACCUGGAUAAAACAGAAUGCUAAAUUUUACCCUAGAGGUGCUUGGCCUGGACUUCAAGAAUUCUAAGUGAAUUGAAGUAUGUUCACAGUAAGAAAGGUUAAAAAUGGCUCUGCCCACUUGUAGGCAGAUGGGAAGCUAGGAUGGCAGACUUGCCAAUAUUUGAUAUAUGUAAAAAGUGCAAUCAUGGCCUCUGUUGUUUCCUCUUUUAUCUCGUUCUCUUUAUUAGUCCAGGUUCUCUAGAGGAAUAGAACUAAUAGGAGAUAUAUAUAUAUAUAUAUAUGGAGUUUAUUAA